UCUCCAUCGAAGAAGAAACUUAGGGUUGAAGCUAGAGUCAAGAACAAAGGGGAAUUUGCUUUAGGCUUGUUCUAAGAAGAUACUCAAGGAGCCUUUGGAAGAUUUGAGUGCUUGGAGGCUAGGUUCCUAAGUUUGGAGAAGAUUGAAGAUUGAUAAGUCAUCAUAGCAUUCGAGGACAAACCCCUAUGUUCCGUUAUGUCUUCUAUUAUGUUUCAGACUUUUGUGGGUUGCGUCCCAAAGACAUUAUUACUCAUGUAUUCGUAGAUGGUUGUGAGAUACAUGUUAAAAAGACUUCCGUUAUUAUGAAAUGAUUUCCGUACUAUGUUUAAAGAGAACUUUUAAAUUCCCUCCAUUUUUAUAUGAAGUUAUGUAAUAAAUACUAUGAGCUUGUAUAAGACCUCUUCAAAGUCGAAUAUGCUACGUCACGACUUACGGGUGCCCUCGGGUCGUGACACUCAUAUAGUUACAAUUUUUCUCCUAAAGCUGAAAAUUUUCCUGUAAUCGCAGAACUUAAACUAAGGUAACAAUACUUCUACAGCACCAUGGAAACACAUAUAAGGAGAAUAGCUAGCCCAAUAAAAGAAGAAAAAAAGUUCGACAACAUUUCACGAAAAAGAAUAUCAGUUUCAAGUCUUAAAACAGAAUAUAUGAAGGGCGCUAAAACUGUUUAACGACGUCCUAUACAACUUAAACCAAUAAUUUUCACAUUCCACGUGACACUCCAUAAUAUCAUUACUAGAUACCACUAGACCACGUCUAAUGGUGUCUUGUCACUCAAAGAACACUCCAUGAUAACAUUACUAGUUCACGUGCUAGCAAAAACCCAAUAACAUAUAAAAAAACAAUCCUGCUACUAACUUUGGUGCAGUCCAUAACACUUAUUUGAAUAAGUUCAACAAACAAAUUAAUCAUAAAUGUGCUUCAAAGCCAUUAAUUUAAAGUAUGUCGACUAUGUAAGUAAUUCUUUGAGUUUUUAACCUGUAUUUAUUUAUUUAUUUAUUCUCAUCUUAAUUUAUUUUCUCUCCAGCAUGUGCCUAAAAUAUCCAACGUUUGUCAUAAUCAUUCUAUCUCUUGAUUUUAUCAAUUCUUUCUGAAACUCAAUAUGUAACUUGGGAUGUCAAACUCAAUGCUAUUAAGUAUUAAUAUAUGUUGCUCAUACUCUUAAAAAAUGUCGAUGGGAGCGUGUUGGAUCCUCCAGAAAAAGUGUCUUUUUGAAGGAUCCAACACGAGUGCGUAAACAUUUUUGGAGAGUUCAAGCAACUUAGCUAUUAAUAGAUAUGACAUCAGCAAAAAAACCUUGAAAUCCUUUCCAGGUUAUUCCCACACUAAUCUGCCAACAAUCCUAUGCCCAUCGUCAGCCAUAAUAAUGACAUACCCUAUGUAAUUGUGGGAUCUGGGGAGGGUGGUGUGUCCCCUACCUUGUGAAGGUAGAGAUGUUAUUUCUUGUAGACCCUUGGCUCAAGUAAAACAUAUAAAAAAAAACAAGUGAAAAUACAAUAGCAAAGAAUCCAUGAAGAAGAGAACAGUAGCAACGACAAAUAAUACGAUGACAAUGUAAACAACACGGAAUACUAAAAUCUUUAUCCCUUUAAUACUGAUCCAAUUCCACUAUUCACAAUUUGCAGCAAUAUAAGAAAACCCCACAAGUUCCUCUUGAAGUUGACUAGCUAUACAUUUAUCAAAUUGGUAAUUUGUCUUAGAAUAACUACAAAUAGAAGUAUAAGUUGAGGGUCAAAAUCUAAAGCAUGUUGAAUUUGCAGCCAAUAGGUUACCACUGAUCCAUACAAGUAUACAAAGUAGGGGGUCUCUGGAAAACAAUGCUGACAUUAUGUUCCAAAGCAUGUACAACUGUUGUUCUUCUAUUAAUCAUGUGGAAGCACAAUUGACAUUAAUAUCAUUAAAAGCCAUAUUACUUGGUAAAAAAAAUGUUGCAUAAGCAAAGGCUAUAUAUGUUUGAUGAUCUAACACAAUUGGCUAAUAAGUCGCAUUAACUAGUAGCUAGUUCAACCAUGCUUCAAGUUUCUGCGAGUUAAAUUUCACAUCUUGCAUUACGGUUUAAGUUAAUUUCCCAUACUCAAUAGCUACAAUAUAAAUUUUAUUUCUAUACGUGAUAAAAAUAAGGAACUACAUCAAUAAAUCUACAUAAACAGGCAUCCUUCAUUCAAUAACUCAUUAAUACAUUAUCUACUAUAAGUAAGAAUUAGCAGGAUCUCAAAAUUACUAAAUCAGCUUUCCUGUUUUGUUAUAUGGUCACAGACAAUAAGUUGUAACUAUCUAGAUGUAUAACAGGGUUGAGAAGUCCAAAAAGGACACACCCACGUAUUAAAGAGAUAUUAAAGCAGUAGUAGUUGUUGUCUUACAGGAAAAAUUCAAUCAUCCAAUCGCCUUAUACUUUAAGCAGCUGCAACUUGUUAGAAAACGCAAUGGCAAUCCAACCACGUUGUGCACCACUGAAUUUAAUUAAUCUCAGCUCCAACAGAGUAUAUUGGCAUAGGAUCAACCCCAUUA